GCACUGCAGGCCCGCCGGGUACAGUGUGAGCACCAGAACACGGACCCUUUGGUUUGGACCUCUCAUCGUGUCAUUAAAUGGCUUAAAGACAUCGACCUCAAGGAGUUUGCAGAUGGUGUCGUGAGUAGCGGCAUCCACGGCGCUGUCAUGGUGCUGGAUCCCAAUUUUUCCAGCGACGCUUUGGCCACAGCGAUGGGAAUUCCCAGCGGCAAGCACAUUGUUCGCAGACACCUUGAAGAAGAGCUUACAAAUCUGAUAUGCCUAGCCAGGGCGGAUGCCAAGCAAGAUUUUGAGCGCUCAGUUUUGGGAACACCGCCCACUCCCCUUCGACAAAACUCCCCCAGCAGGUCGCCCGGCUCUGCCGGACGACACACCGAUGAUGAGGGUUCACUGAGGAGGAGGGCU